rnacentral:rRNA from 1 species
UUUGACAUGACAUUUUUAUAUGUGGCUGCUGGAUGGGAAGGUUCUGCAUCGGAUCAGGCCAUUUUACGGUGGGCUGUUACAGAUGGUGGCUUUGUUGUUCCAGAAGGUAAAUUUUAUCUCGUUGACUCGGGCUACGCAAAUACUCCAAGAUUUAUUGCCCCCUACCGUGGAGAUCGCUAUCACAUUGGUUCUUUUCGUGGAACUAAUCGUCGGUAUAGUAGUGAGAAGGAUCUGUUCAACCAUCUACAUGCACAACUACGGAAUGUUGUAGAACGCACUUUUGGUGUUCUAAAAGCUCGAUUUCCAAUAUUAACAAGGAAUGGAGGAAUCCCUUAUCCUUACAAAAAACAUGUCCAAAUUGUUAUGGCUUGU